UACGUAGGGGUGCAAGCGUUUAAUCGGAAUUACUGGGCGUAAAGCGUGCGCAGGCGGUUGUGCAAGACCGAUGUGAAAUCCCCGGGCUUAACCUGGGAAUGGCAUUGGUGACUGCACGGCUAGAGUGUGUCAGAGGGGGGGUAGAAUUCCACGUGUAGCAGUGAAAUGCGUAGAGAUGUGGAGGAAUACCGAUGGCGAAGGCAGGUCUCUGGGCUGACACUGACGCUCAUGCACGAAAGCGUGGGGAGCAAACAGG
rnacentral:rRNA from 1 species